rnacentral:rRNA from 1 species
GAUGAACGCUGGCGGCGUGCUUAACACAUGCAAGUCGAGCGAAGCACUCUGUUUGAUUUUUUCGGAAUGAAAACAGUUUGACUGAGCGGCGGACGGGUGAGUAACGCGUGGGUAACCUGCCUUACACAGGGGGAUAACAGUUAGAAAUGACUGCUAAUACCGCAUAACCCGCUAGGGCCGCAUGGCCCGGACGGAAAAGAUUUUAUCGGUGUAAGAUGGACCCGCGUCUGAUUAGCUAGUUGGUGAGGUAACGGCUCACCAAGGCGACGAUCAGUAGCCGACCUGAGAGGGUGAUCGGCCACAUUGGGACUGAGACACGGCCCAA